rnacentral:pre_miRNA from 1 species
AGUCAAAUUGCUGGAUCAUAUGGCAUUUCUAACUUUAAUUUUAAACCACUGCCAUACCGUUUUCCAUAGUGGUUGACCAUUUUACAUUUCCAUCAGCAGU